rnacentral:sRNA from 1 species
GUGUGUGAGAAAGAGAGAGGAGGGAGAGAGGAGAGAGAGAGAGAAUUUGUUUGCCCGUCACUCACCUUCAUCCACCUCUUUUAACCUCGGAUUGUGUAUUCGCGUAAUGUCUGCUUGAACUUGAUAUAUUGGAUUGGGAUUGCCAAUGUCUUGAGAUCCCAAGGCAAAUAACGAACCGAUAUAUAGUCCUUUGCAUGAAUCAUGAAUAUUUCGGAUGCAAUAGUUACCGAUGAAAACUGAACAUGCAACCCGGACGAGGAAAAGAGAAACAACGAAAACAAAAAGAAAAAGUUGAAGAAAAAGAAAAAGAAAAAAGAGAAGAAAAAAACAGAAACACGUAUAUCAAACUCGUUAACUUAUUUACAGAAAAUCUCUGACGUUAUACGCCUGCGUCAUAACGUAUCCCGAUAUUUAAUAAUCUAAUGGAGAGUUCCCUUUCUGACUACCAGAGUCUAAAGGGAACACCCAAAAGCCCACCCGUGGACUCAUAUACAACUGAAAAGUUCAAAAAGGAAGUAUUGUACAGGUUCAUCCAUAGAACAAUGUCUUGAGCCCAAAUACCUAGAACAGCCCAUCACAAUAGGCGCUGAUAAACAAAGUGGA